rnacentral:rRNA from 1 species
GACGUAGGGUCCAAGCGUUGUCCGGAAUUACUGGGCGUAAAGGGCUCGUAGGCGGCCAACUAAGUCAGACGUGAAAUCCCUCGGCUUAACCGGGGAACUGCGUCUGAUACUGGAUGGCUUGAGUUUGGGAGAGGGAUGCGGAAUUCCAGGUGUAGCGGUGAAAUGCGUAGAUAUCUGGAGGAACACCGGUGGCGAAGGCGGCAUCCUGGACCAACACUGACGCUGAGUGAGCGAAAGCCAGGGGAGCAAACGGG